UCUGGUGCCUUAACCCGGUAGCAGCGACGGGCCAAAUUUGUGGCUUUACCGUGUAGCAGCGACGGGCCAAAUUUGUGGCUUUACCGUGUAGCAGCGACGGGCCAAAUUUGUGGCUUUACCAUGUAGCAGCGACGGGCCAAAUUUGUGGCUUUACCAUGUAGCAGCGACGGGCCAAAUUUGUGGCUUUACUGUGUAGCAGCGACGGGCCAAAUUUGUGGCUUUACCGUGUAGCAGCGACAGGCCAAAUUUGUGGCUUUACAGUGUAGCAGCAACGGGCCAAAUUUGUGGCUUGACCGUGUAGCAGCAACGGGCCAAAUUUGUGGCUUUACUGUGUAGCAGCGACGGGCCAAAUUUGUGCCAUGAUUGAAACCCCCCAAAAUAGAUGAUACAUAAUCUGAUCACAAAUGCUUUGAUAUGUAUUAUGAAAUGGUUUGUGUGAGGGGUGAUUUUUUCUCAUUUUUCUCGCUUAGAGGGACCAUUAAGAAACAUGAUCCCUGCUGCUACCGGGUUAAAUCAUUGGCUAAGGUUAUUUGACUGUUUUCAUGUAACGGACUUUGAAUGCUUUGAAUUAUUGUUAUUAAUCAUCAUUACAGUCACCCCUCAAAUAGCACGGUUUUCAAUAGUUCGGUUUUGGUUCUAUGUGGAUUUUCUAAGAUUUUUUAGGAUUUUAAAAUUUCCCGACGAGCAGGAAGUAUUAAAAUCCUGAAAGAUCUUCUACAACAAUCUGUAUAAAACCGAACUAUUGAAAACUGUACUAUUUAAGGGAUGACUACAGCAUUGCCAAAGUAUCAAACUCAACGCAUUGUAUUUUCUGAACAAACAAACAUAUAGGAGUUUUAACGCUAACUUAAAUUUUCCAUCCUAAUUUAUAUAAGUACGAGAGUUUGCGGCUCAAAAGUACAGACUAUGUGGUGAGUACGAUAAUUUGGCAACAAGAGAUGUGACUAUACUCUAUACUGGUUUUUAUAUUUCCUUGUUCGGCUCAUAACACCGGUAUUCUUUCCUGAUGGGGUGCAGAUGAGUGUUUUACAGCGGCGCCAUUCUCGCUUGGCUCGUGCUGCCCUGCUGAGCCCUACUUGGUACUCUGGGUUUUGCAAGAGUUUGGUCUGACACGAGGUCAUUGGGACGAUAUAGUGAUCUCAGCUUCUGGUCAGCUAAAGAAUGUUUGCCUUGUUAAUCAUUCUACAGGAAUAAAUAUAAAGUAUAUCAUCCAA